UCAUAAGUUUUGUAAGUUAAUUUGAUUUCAAAUUGCCGUUUUUCUAACGGGUUUAUUACAUUAACUGAUUCUACUUUUUAAAUGUUUAGUUAUCUGAGUGGUUUUCGGUGUUUUAUCCUCACUAGACAAGGCAGUUGACCUUAGUUGUUGCUUGUCAAGGUUAUUUCUUCCUUUUGGUUUUUCUGUUUUGCUGGGUUUUUUAUCAAUUUAAAAUAUUUAGGAAUGUAUAAACAUUUGCGCGUUUAAACUAGUAUAAGUGGAAUCCUGCAUAGGUCAGGAGAGGAAACCUGGCUUAAAAAUCGAUUCGGAAAAGUGUUUAAAAUUGCAUACGAGAAAUUGGUGCCUACUUAUAUUUGCAAACGCACAGUUAAAUCGAACAUUGAAAAAUUCAUCCUUAUUCAUAUAUAUAUAUAUUCACUUUCGGACUGUAAAAAAUGAAUGAAACUCGACCUCAUAACUCACGAAUUCCGAGAACAGUGGAGCAGAAAACUCAAUAUCUAUGUGGCAUCUGUUCGGAGGAUCUGACGAUCGUAGAUUCUAGAGUAUGCGCUACCGCUUGUGGACAUCUAUUUUGCAACAGAUGCAUGCUUAAGAAAAUUGAAUCGAAAAAACGACCCAUUAAAUGUCCAAGAUGUCUAAAGGUUGUAGCUACCAGGUCA
rnacentral:lncRNA from 1 species